rnacentral:rRNA from 1 species
UACGUAGGGUGCAAGCGUUAAUCGGAAUUACUGGGCGUAAAGCGUGCGCAGGCGGUUUUGUAAGACUGUCGUGAAAUCCCCGGGCUCAACCUGGGAGUGGCGAUGGUGACUGCAAGGCUAGAGUUUGGCAGAGGGGGGUAGAAUUCCACGUGUAGCAGUGAAAUGCGUAGAUAUGUGGAGGAACACCGAUGGCGAAGGCAGCCCCCUGGGUCAAAACUGACGCUCAGGCACGAAAGCGUGGGGAGCAAACAGG